rnacentral:lncRNA from 1 species
CUGAAGUCGUCAUUAUUGAGAGCCAAUAUAUCCUUCAAAUAUCUUAAUGUGUCAUAAGAUUUUUGUAUCAGUAUUGUUUCGAUAGGUCUUUGUUGAUGCUUGUCAUGAUUGAGAGGUGCACAAUUAAUUCCUAUUGGAAUUCCGAACACUUGACGAUAUACGGAAUCUCCAUAGCGAACAUCAUAUUUAUGCAGUAAAAUUUCAAGGGCAGUUAUAGUAUUAAAGCAUGUCAUAUCGACAGAGUUCUUUUGUUUAUAACAUAGAACCUAAAAAAGUUUGGACGUAUGUAUAUAAGAAUGUAUCGAUCAUCAUAUUCGAAACAGAUAUCCAAGGCGUGAAGGCGUCUGUAAAGUUUACGGAGGGCUGAUUUUGUCUGCACCACAUGAAACUAUUGGGUCAAAGUGUCCAUUGUAAGCAGCAAACCUCAAGCGAGGAAAUGUAAAAUCUGGUAUGUCCUAUCAACUGGUAGAUUUUCUCAACCGACAGCCAUUGUCAAUUUCAAGAUGCAAGUUUAGAUAUGGG